GUCUUAACGACUCUCGGCAACGGAUAUCUCGGCUCUCGCAUCGAUGAAGAACGUAGCGAAAUGCGAUACUUGGUGUGAAUUGCAGAAUCCCGUGAACCAUCGAGUCUUUGAACGCAAGUUGCGCCCGAAGCCGUCAGGCCGAGGGCACGCCUGCCUGGGCGUCACGCA
rnacentral:rRNA from 1 species